rnacentral:rRNA from 1 species
AUACGGAGGGUCCGAGCGUUAUCCGGAAUCAUUGGGUUUAAAGGGUCCGUAGGCGGGAAUCUAAGUCAGUGGUGAAAUCUUGCAGCUCAACUGUAAAAUUGCCAUUGAUACAGGAUUUCUUGAAUUAGUGUGAAGUGGUUAGAAUGUGUAGUGUAGCGGUGAAAUGCAUAGAUAUUACACAGAAUACCAAUUGCGAAGGCAGAUCACUAACACUAUAUCGACGCUGAGGGACGAAAGCGUGGGGAGCGAACAGGAUUAGAAACCCCGGUAGUCC